UGGGGAAUCUUGCACAAUGGGGGAAACCCUGAUGCAGCGACGCCGCGUGAACGAUGAAGCCCUUCGGGGUGUAAAGUUCUUUCGGCAGGGACGAUAAUGACGGUACCUGCAGAAGCAGCUGCGGCUAACUACGUGCCAGCAGCCGCGGUAAUACGGAGGCAGCAAGCGUUGUUCGGAAUUACUGGGCGUAAAGAGGGCGUAGGCGGUUGGCUAAGUUUGGUGGUAAAUCUCCCGGCUUAACUGGGAGGGUGCGCCGAAAACUGGCUAGCUAGAGUGCGGGAGAGGAUAGUGGAAUUCCUGGUGUAGCGGUGAAAUGCGUAGAUAUCAGGAGGAACACCUGAGGUGUAGACGGCUAUCUGGACCGUAACUGACGCUGAGGCACGAAAGCGUGGGGAGCAAACA
rnacentral:rRNA from 1 species